UUCCGCAGGCGAUCCAAAAUUUAAUUUAAAAGAACACAUGGUAGCUAGGAAAAGGUUCAGACCUUUGUAUAAAAUUUUGUACAGUGGAACCUCUAGGUUUUCCGAGUAGCAACCAACACUUUACCCGUUCCCUCCGUUUUGAUAAGAAUUUCAGACCCUUCUUAAGUAGGAUUCCUUAUCCGUUUCCUCCAUUUUGGUAAGAAUUCUGGUACUUCUAAGCCGAACUCGUUACCCAUUUCCUAAUCUUGAUUCUAUUCUUAAUGAUUUAUUUAGCCAAUCUAAUUCAUUAGUUCAUCGCCUUAUUAACCCAUUAAUUAAAUCAACCUAUUAAGUGGUGACUCAUAUGACUAAAUAAUAAAUCCUAAUAUUAAUUAAUCAUAUAUAUUCUUAAUUAGCUCUUAAUUAAUUUCAUCGUACAUUCUACCAAUCAUUCAAUCUUUUCAUGAAUCAAUCCCAUUAAUCAAUCAAUCAAUCGCUAACUAAAUUAAUUUCCCUAACUUAAUUACCAAUUGAUUGAUUAUUCAAACAUCAAUUAAAAAUCUUAAUUAAACUAGUUACUAAUAAAACAUGCACCUAACAUAAACUUGACUACUUUGUAAGUAUAAACAUAAAUAUGAUCUAUACAUAAACAUGAAUAUAAACAUAUACAUAAACAUGAUUUAUACAUCAGUAUGAACAUAAACUUAACAUGGUUACUACACAAGCAUGGAGCAUAAAUAUAAACAUGUGCAUAUAUGUAAGCAGGAUCAUUUCAUGAGCACGAGUAUAAUCAUAAAUGUACACCUAACAUAAACUUGGCCACUUAGGUUACAACAAAAAAUCCAAAAGUCCCUUAUGAGUCCAAACAAAACCCUCCAUUAAGUGCAUGGUGACUAUAUCAUCAAGGGGCAAUAUGGAUGAAACACAUAUGUUAUAAGUUAUAACUAAAAGAAACCGAAAUCCCUAUAAAUUAUCAAAAUUGAAACCUAAGGCUUUAGGUAAACAUGGUUGUUAUUCUCCUAAUAUCUUUAAGUAUGACAUGGGUAAAAAUACACGUCCUAGGUUACAACCAAAAGGAAACCGAAACCCUUUUUAAUGGAAAGAAAUCAAAACUUAAAAAUUUAAGUGAGCAUGGUAAUCAUACUUCUAAUACAUUAAAGUAUCACAUGGAUAAAAAUACAUACAUAUUAGAGGUCAUAACUAAAGGGAACUAAAACCCUUUUAAGGUAGGAACCGAACCUAAGAGUUUAGGUGAACAUGGUAAGCAGUAAGAAAUAAACACAAGUACAUUAAGCAAAUUCUGAAAUCUCACAUUUAACCUAUAAGGUUUUCAUGCUAGGAAAUAGAAGGAGCAUGAACACAAUUAAACCCAAAUCCGAAAACUCAUCCAAUCUAGAAUCCGAAAUUUACAUAGAGCAUAUAAGAUUAUCUUGAUAAGAAGCAAGUAGAAUCAUAAUCACAAACCCAGCUAACUAAAUUUCGAAAUUAUCACCUAACCUACCAUGAUAUUUAAACAUACAUGAAUUUAAGGGAACUAAUUAAAACAUAACAAAGUAUAGAACAUGCUUUCAACUCUAUCUUGCUACCAAGUCUCUUCUUCUCCUCCCCUUAGAACUUGGCAUGAUGGCGGUGCAGGCUAGGCCAGCGGUGGUGAAGGAGAGGUUUAGGGUUUUGGAAUGUAGCCAAAAAUCCGAGGAAAGGAAUGCGUUAAAUAGGUUUUACCAUAACUCAUCCAACUUUGAACAUUUCCAUCAUAAUUACUAAGUCAUACUAAGUCAUAUAAAUUUAUAUAAAAAUUUAUACAUAUGAGUUAUAUAAUUUUUUAUAUACUUAGUCAUAUAAAUUUUUAUAUAAAAAGUUAUAUACACCUAUUAUAUAACUUUUUAUUUUGAUAAAAAAUAAAUUUUAUAUAUACUUAUAUUCAACUGUUUUCUUAAUAUAAAUGAUCAAUUCAAAUUCCAUAAAUAUAUGUUAAUUUAAUUAAUUAAAACUAACUAAAUCUAUCUAUUUAAAUUAAUCAAUUCUUAAUUAAAUCUAAAAUAUAUAAUUAAAUAAAUCCUCUUAUUUAAAAUAAUUUAGUUUCAGGCACUACAAUUAUAAUCGAUGAAAUCUAGAAUCUUGAUGGGGUUGCUAGCUGGAAGCUUAAUUAACACUAGUCAUCUCGCACAUGCAUUGUGUGUGUAAUAUAAUAUAUGAAUACACGUAAAUUAUAUAAAAUGAAUAUUAUCAUCAAGUAAUUAAACAACAUUAUUCUUGUUAAUAUGAUUUAUUUUAUAAAAAAUUAAUUAGCAAAUAAAUUAGAAAUUAGAUUAUUAAUCUUCCCUCAAGUUAUGUAGCGAUCAUGGUUCUUCAGAACAUCGCGGUGGCCGUCGUGGACUCUAUCAUUCCAAUUCCAAUGUCAUUUCAUGAAACAAUCACGGUGCGGAUUUAUAAAAAAAAUAAUUAAAACUAUCAUUUGAAAUUUUUGUUAGAAUGAAUUUAGUAAUUAAAUGAAUAAUAAUUUGAUUAAUAAUUAGUUAAUGACAGGUAAAAUAAAUAAAUUUAAAUAUAUAAAAUUUAUUUAGAAAUUUUUAAAAUUUAAAAUAGAUUUUAUAUAAUAUUUUAAAGGAUAAUUCAGUUAAAAUAUAAUUAAGUCAAUUUAAAUUGGGAAUUAGUGGGCUUAGGUUAGGGUUUUCUAUACGCCGCCGCCUUCUCCUCACACAUCUUCACCGUCGCCCCAAAGGCCCAAACCACUUCCCUCGCCGUUGGUUUUCACCUCUCCGGCACGCAACGCCAUCGCCACUGUCGUCGGAGAAGACGACGCCGCCGCCAAUGACCUGUCGCCGGAGAAGACGAUGCCAUGAGGUCUGGAACAUUAUAUACCAGAAAUUUGGCACGGCUCAUCCCGUUCCCGUGCAGGAACGAACGUUCCGGGCGUUCCACCUCCGUUCUUACGAACCAUGUCACUCACGAUAAGAUCUACGAGAGAAGCAGAGCGGAGAUGGGUUUUGCUUCCGGCAACAAUAUCACAUCUUUCUUCGAAUCUGCUUUCCCGGUUCCUUGUUUUCUGCUGUCUGGUCUUUCUUCGAUUCGGCGAUGGGUUUUAUCUACCUGGAAGCUACCCUGACGAGUAUCCAGUUGGAGUCUUGGAGAGGUCCUGCCGGCUGCCGGUGAAGGUCAACUCGCUUACUUCCAUCGAGACCGAGCUUCCUUUCAGUUACUACAAUCUCCCAUUCUGCCGUCCUCAAGAUGGAAUUAAGGAUAACACCAAGAAUCUUGGGGAGCUACUAAUGAGAGACGGAUCUAAGAAGGGCUGGACCGACAACCCUGUUCUAGAUCCGUCUCUAGUUCUUUGUACGGACGAUCUAACAUUGCAAGUGUUAACAUUACGCAUAUGGAUUCUUGGUGUUCCACUCUGCAUCCUACCGUAGGUUGCUUCUGUUGUCUUCACCGAAGACCUUAAAAGAAUAUAUGUGACCAUGAAAGAAUUAAGGCUUUCCUCUAGAGUAUAUUGUUGAUAUUCCACUUGAUUCAUACUUGUCGGAGAGCAUCUCUAGCUCAGGUUGCUUUUGUUGUCUUCACCAAAGACCUUAAAAAAUAUUUGUGACCAUGAAAGAAGGCUUUCCUCUAGGGUAUAUAAUAGUUGAUAUUCCACAUGAUCCAUACUUGUCCGAGAACAUCUCUAGCUGGGAUGUUGAAGUUGUUCUCCUUCAAAAGAGCAAAGCUAUUAUUUCUUCAAAAUAGUUUUUGCAUUACUACCAGGGUUACUUAUUUUGUAUCUUAUCAGAGAAUCUGUUUUGCUUUUGCAUGUUACAAAUAAUGGAUUUCUACAAAAGAAGUAUAACCAACAUAUUGACAGGAAUAUGCAGAAAACUUCAUACUGCUGAGAAUUUUGAUUAUAUGUUAGAUCUUCACUUGUAGUCUUUUUAACUA